rnacentral:rRNA from 1 species
UACAGAGGGUGCAAGCGUUGUUCGGAAUUAUUGGGCGUAAAGGGCGCGUAGGCGGUGCCACAAGUCACCUGUGAAAUCUCCGGGCUUAACUCGGAGCCUGCAGGCGAAACUGUGGUGCUGGAGUGUGGGAGAGGUGCGUGGAAUUCCCGGUGUAGCGGUGAAAUGCGUAGAUAUCAAGUGGAACACCAGUGGCGAAGGCGAGUCUCUGGACAUUUCCUGACGCUGAGGCACGAAAGCCAGGGGAGCAAACGGG